rnacentral:rRNA from 1 species
GAUGAACGCUAGCGGCAGGCCUAACACAUGCAAGUCGAGGGAGAAGCCCUUUCGGGGGCAGAAACCGGCGCACGGGUGCGUAACGCGUAUGCAACCUACCUUUCACAGGGGGAUAGCCCGAAGAAAUUUGGAUUAAUACCCCAUAAUAUUAUUGGAUGGCAUCAUUUGAUAAUUAAAACUGCGGUGGUGAAAGAUGGGCAUGCGUCCUAUUAGCUAGUUGGAGUGGUAACGGCACCCCAAGGCUACGAUAGGUAGGGGUCCUGAGAGGGAGAUCCCCCACACUGGUACUGAGACAGGGACCAGACUCCUACGGGAGGCAGCAGUGAGGAAUAUUGGUCAAUGGUCGGAAGACUGAACCGGCCAUGCCGCGUGCAGGAAGAAUGCCUUAUGGGUUGUAAACUGCUUUUAUAUGGGAAGAAUAAGGCGUACGUGUACGUUGAUGACGGUACCAUAUGAAUAAGCAUCGGCUAACUCCGUG